AUUGAACGCUGGCGGCAGGCCUAACACAUGCAAGUCGAGCGGAUGAAGGGAGCUUGCUCCUGGAUUCAGCGGCGGACGGGUGAGUAAUGCCUAGGAAUCUGCCUGGUAGUGGGGGAUAACGUCCGGAAACGGGCGCUAAUACCGCAUACGUCCUGAGGGAGAAAGUGGGGGAUCUUCGGACCUCACGCUAUCAGAUGAGCCUAGGUCGGAUUAGCUAGUUGGUGGGGUAAAGGCCUACCAAGGCGACGAUCCGUAACUGGUCUGAGAGGGUGAUCAGUCACACUGGAACUGAGACACGGUCCAGACUCCUACGGGAGGCAGCAGUGGGGAAUAUUGGGCAAUGGGCGAAAGCCUGAUCCAGCCAUGCCGCGUGUGUGAAGAAGGUCUUCGGAUUGUAAAGCACUUUAAGUAGGGAGGAAGGACAGUAAGUUAAUACCUUGCUGUUUUGACGUUACCAACAGAAUAAGCACCGGCUAACUUCGUG
rnacentral:rRNA from 1 species